AUAUCUCUCUGUACGGGAAGGAUGAGAAGCUUCGACCAAGGUUCGAUUCGAGCGCAGCGAGAAAGCGUUGCCGCAGGCAACGACCCGAAGGGCGAAGCGCGCAGCGCUGAGUCAUCCUU
rnacentral:sRNA from 1 species